ACGGAAGGCAGCAGUGGGGGAUAUUGCACAAUGGGGGAAACCCUGAUGCAGCGACGCCGCGUGAGUGAAGAAGUAUUUCGGUAUGUAAAGCUCUAUCAGCAGGAAAGAAAAUGACGGUACCUGACUAAGAAGCCCCGGCUAACUACGUGCCAGCAGCCGCGGUAAUACGUGGGGGGCAAGCGUUAUCCGGAUUUACUGGGUGUAAAGGGAGCGUAGACGGCCACGCAAGUCUGAAGUGAAAGCCCGGGGCUCAACCCCGGAACUGCUUUGGAAACUGUGAGGCUAGAGUGCAGGAGAGGUAAGCGGAAUUCCUAGUGUAGCGGUGAAAUGCGUAGAUAUUAGGAGGAACACCAGCGGCGAAGGCGGCUUACUGGACUGUAACUGACGUUGAGGCUCGAAGGCGUGGGGAGCAAACAGGAUUAGAUACCCUGGUA
rnacentral:rRNA from 1 species